GACGUAGGAUGCAAGCGUUGUCCGGAUUUAUUGGGCGUAAAGAGUUCGUAGGCGGUUCGUUAAGUCUGAUGUUAAAGACUGGGGCUCAACCCCGGGAGUGCAUUGGAUACUGGCGGACUGGAGUGUGGUAGAGGCUAGUGGAAUUCCCAGUGUAGCGGUGAAAUGCGUAGAUAUUGGGAAUAACACCAGUGGCGUAGGCGACUAGCUGGGCCAUAACUGACGCUGAGGAACGAAAGCCAGGGGAGCGAAUGGG
rnacentral:rRNA from 1 species